rnacentral:lncRNA from 1 species
AUGCAGCAAACCGACUUUGAAAAGACAGCCUUUUCUGUGUUUCACAGACGUUCCAGGAAGCCAGCAAAGCCCGAAUCACAUUUGAGGCCACACCCAGAACUGCAACUUAUGAACCUGGAAGGCCUCAGGACUCAAGAAACAGAACCGGGGAGUUCCUGUCGUGGCAAGUGGUUAAUGAAUCCGACUAGGAACCAUGAGGUUGUGGGUUCCAUCCCCGGCCUUGCUCAGUGGGGUUGAGGAGAAGGUGAUGUGCUCCGCAGGCUGGAGGCGCGUGGAUGGAGUAGACCGAGGAGCGUGGGUUGGAAUCAAGGAGAGAGGUGUGUUGGUCCGAAUGGCACACACUUGGCAGCUGGGAGAGCAAAAGAGGGACUGAGAAUGUGCCACUGGAUCCUGCAGCUGGUAUGCACAUGGUGUCUGCUGUCCUGGGGGUGGGGGUGACCAAUUAGAAGGUGUUUGGCAUUAGGCAUCCCUCUCCCAAGCCUGGUGACACAUCUGCCCAGUACCAUAUGGUACACACUCAAUGCAUCACAUCACUGACCUUCAGGGCAGCCUGUGAAGGAGGCUCCCCUCACCACUCCCAUUGGGCAGAGAAGGAAAUGGGAACUCAGAAAGAGUAACUCAUUGCCCAAGACAGCUUGGCUAGGAUGUUCCUGCUGUGGCUCAGCGGUAACGAGUCUGAGGCCAACUAUUAUCCAUGAGAGUGUGGGUUCAAUCCCUGGCCUAGAUCAGUAGGUUAAGGAUCCAGCAUUGCCCAUGAACUGUGGUGUAGGUCACAGACGUGGCUCGGAUCCUGCCUUGCUGUGGCUGUGGCAUAGGCCAGCAGCUGUAGCUCUGAUUCAACUCCUAGCCUGGGAACUUCCAUAUGCCACAGGUGCAGUGCUAAAAAGACGGGGAAAAAAAAAAAAAAAAGAGUUUGGCUAGCAAAUGCAGAGGGUGAGCACCGUGAGGGGCACUCCAGAUGCUCUCAAUAUCUGUCCUUUGUCUAUCUGGCAGUGAGUACUAGCAACAAUACUCAUACUAGCUAGCAUUUUUUGAGUGCUUGCCAUGUGCUUAGGACUAUUGUUAACACUUUACUGUAUAAAGUAGUCGAUUCUGCACUACCUCAUGAGGUAGGCACUAUUAGCCCCAUUUUACAAAUGAGGAGGCAGAGGCCUAGAGAACUUAAAUAAUAGCCAAAAUCAACAGUAGUAAGUGGUGUGAAGUGCCUGCACUCUCAACCUCUUCAUUAACACCAGAG